rnacentral:rRNA from 1 species
GAUGAACGCUGGCGGCGUGCCUAAUACAUGCAAGUCGAGCGAACGGACGAGAAGCUUGCUUCUCUGAUGUUAGCGGCGGACGGGUGAGUAACGCGUGGAUAACCUACCUAUAAGACUGGGAUAACUUCGGGAAACCGGAGCUAAUACCGGAUGAUAUUUUGAACCGCAUGGUUCAAAAGUGAAAGACGGUCUUGCUGUCACUUAUAGAUGGAUCCGCGCUGCAUUAGCUAGUUGGUAAGGUAACGGCUUACCAAGGCAACGAUGCAUAGCCGACCUGAGAGGGUGAUCGGCCACACUGGAACUGAGACACGGUCCAGACUCCUACGGGAGGCAGCAGUAGGGAAUCUUCCGCAAUGGGCGAAAGCCUGGCGGAGCAACGCCGCGUGAGUGAUGAAGGUCUUCGGAUCGUAAAACUCUGUUAUUAGGGAAGAACAUAUGUGUAAGUAACUGUGCACAUCUUGACGGUACCUAAUCAGAAAGCCACGGCUAACUACGUG